UGUUUUGCCUAUGCCACCCUGAGAACACCCAAUCUCAUCUGACCUUGGAAGCUAAGCAGAGUCUGGCUCAGGUCUUCUCUAAGAUUAAGCGACUAUUUAA
rnacentral:rRNA from 14 species